UGGUGGCCUACUUGUGAAUGUUAUUUAUCUCUGUGGUUCCCCUCCGCGUUAGACCUGGGGGGUAUGGACUCCUCCGCUAGGGAGGGGGUGGGCAUACCUCAGGAAAUUUUUGAAAUUUUAGUAGCUUUAUACGUGUUUUUAGACCCGUUUACGUUUUUCUCAGACUGCACAAAAAUGUAUAGAAUAUAGGCCAUUAAAUGUGACAUUUCAAUAUUUUAAACACUUUAGAAUUAGAUCAAAAUUAAUUUGAGUUAUUUUUUAGUUAUCAAGAAACCAUUUUCAAGCUCAUUUUGUUUUGACGCUGAAAUUUUCUUUAAAAAUCUGCAGAGAAAUUUUCCUGGUAGGCGGUAGAGGGGUGUUAGUCGUGUUAGAAAAAAAUUACAAACAUUUUCCGGUAUCUCGUCUAGAUCAAUUGGAUUGGAAGGUACACUGAGAUAACACAAACAAGGAUACGGGGUUAUUGUGUACGAUAUUGCAGGAGUGAAUUUUCGUGGCCCACUGAAAAGUUUCCGUGGCCUACCAAUAUGCUGUCUUUCGUUCGUGGCCCCCAAGAAAUACUUCAUGGAGGGAGCCAUAUGGCCUCCGUUGAGAAACACUGAGCUAGACUGUUUCAAUAUUCAAUAAAUUCCUUUCUUUGGUCCACUGUUAUGCCCAAGGUUAUGCCACUAUUGAAAAUAUUCUUUCAACGUUGGCAUUAUGAGCAGGAAUGCAAAAAAAGCACUAGGCAAUUUUGUAUAAAUGAGGAUUCGGUGUUUUAAAAAAUUGUAACCAAAGCUGAUUGGCGCUUAAAAGUUUAUCUUGUUAGGUUAAAUUUUGACAGAAACUCAUAGAUGCCUCAGUAGCCCAAAACCCGGACUACCAAUGAAACCCCGCCCGGAUGCUUCUCGGACGCCCUCUAAACUAGGACAAAUCCGGAGAAACCCGGACGGAUGGUAUAACGGCACAAAAUUUAAGAAUUAAGGAGUCAUUGCCGUUUAGACAUUUAGAAAAUAAUAAUAAUAAUAACGUUUAUUGCCAUACAAAAAUAAAAAAAUGAAUAGCAAAUGAUUAAGGGUUCGCCUUAUGGUGGUCUACCACCCUUCCAAACAAACAAUACUAUAUAACAUGUAAAUACAUAUUUUAAGAUACAUUAAUUUCAUUAUAAUUGAUUAAUAAUUUUAAAAAUACAGUAAUCAUAAUCUUAGAAAAAGGAAAACAAACAAAGAAAAUAAGAGAUAAUAACAAAAUAGCAAUAUCCUUAAAUCUUAUAAAUUCGACAAUUGAACUAGGUACCAUUUUAAAUUUGAUUGCUAAAUACCUCGCUAAAUACCAUCUCAACUACUAAGCUUUUAAAAGCAGCAAACAAAUGGUUUAAAUAAGGAAAUAGUUGAUUGAGAAAUUAUAUCGCAUUAUAAGUAAAACUUCCUUUAAAUUUGUUUGUGUGAUGCUGUGGAAUGGUAAAAUGGGGGUUUACAGUAUAGUUGAAUUCCGCAGUUCU